rnacentral:rRNA from 1 species
AUGGACCUCGACCUCGCCCUGCAAGAGACCCGCCCGGCCGUCGCCGGCGAGGACUUCGCCUUCACCACCACCGAGACCGACGACGCCUUCCUCGUCCUCGCCCACCUCCCAGGGUAUGACAAGGAUGCGAUCGAGCUCCGCGUCGGCGACGGCGGCAGGGAGAUCCGCGUCGACGUGGCCGCGCGGAAGGACGGCGCCGGGCUCGCGGUGGAGGCGGCGCGCGCCGGGACGCGGCUGCGGGUGGCGCACCGGCGGGCGGUGGAGGGUUUCCGCCGUGUGUUCGACGUGCCGGCCGGGGUCGACGUGGGCCGGGUCUCCGUCGGGUUCGAGGAGGACGACGAGCUGCUCGUCAUCAUCCUGCCCAAGCUGCGGCAGCCGCAGGCCUCCCCGCCGGACGACGAGGCGCGCGUCGACGUCGAGAGCACGGACGACUACGAGUACGGGACGGAGGUGGAGCUCGACGACGGGUGGUCGUCGGCUAGCCUCGAGCUGGAGCAGGAGGAGUGGGUCGACGUCGACGGCGAUUCGUCGGGGUCCGAGCCUGAGCCGCCGCCUCGAGACGUGCCGGUGGAGACGCCCGUGGAGAUACAGGAGGACGUGCUCGUGGAGAUUCAUGGGCCGGAUCCCAUAAUCACGGACGUGGCGGUCGAGACGCCGGUGGAGGUCGAGGAGGAGGAGGAGCCUCCGGUGCUCGACAUCGAGUGUGACGUCGUGUUCGACGUCCCGGUGUACACUGAGCUGCCGGUGGAGACGCCGAUCGAAGUGCUCGGGUCCGACCCAUCGGUUGACGACGUGGGAGAGCCGGCGGUCGACAUCCCGUGCGAUGUCGAGUUCGAGCCGACGCCACCCGACGUCAUCGAGGAGCCCAAGCCACCACCUGUCGUAGACCCACCGGUUGAAGAGCCACCGAUGGACCCACCACCGGUUGAGGAGCCACCGCUCACCGAGGAGCCUCCAGCACCGGUCGACCCGCCCAUGGAGGAGCCUCCAGCGCCGGUCGACCCGCCCAUGGAGGAGCCACCCGCCGAAGAGCCGUCGGUGGACCCACCACCGGUUGAGGAUCCUCCGGCACCGGUUGACCCGCCCGUGGAACCGCCUCCCAUGGAGGAACCGCCGGUGGAGCCACCACCAGACCCACCCGUGGAACCGCCACCCAUGCAGGAGCCACCGAUGGACCCACCACCAGUUGAGGAGCCACCACCCGCCGAGGAUCCUCCGGCAGCGAUCGACCCGCCCGUGGAACCGCCGCCCAUGGAGGAGCCUGAUGAAUCAGAUGGUAGCACCGGUGAUGAGGACAACGGCGAGGGGGGUGGCCGCAAGGGUAAGCGACGCAGUGGCGGGAAAGGACGACGGAGGCGCAGGCGGCGUGGCAGGUUCCCGUUGGGCAUGGUGGUUGCUCCUGCUGUGAUCUUGCUCGCUCUUGCAGUGCUCGCGGCCAAGAGACGGCGACAACAGGGCGGCGGUUGA